UACGGAGGAGGCAAGCGUUAUCCGGAAUUAUUGGGCGUAAAGCGUUCGUAGGUGGUUUAGUAAGUCUGCUGUUAAAGCGCGGGGCUUAACUCCGUAUCGGCAGUGGAAACUACUAGACUAGAGUGUGGUAGGGGUAGAGGGAAUUCCCAGUGUAGCGGUGAAAUGCGUAGAUAUUGGGAAGAACACCGGUGGCGAAGGCGCUCUACUGGGCCGAUACUGACGCUGAGGAGCGAAAGCGUGGGGAGCGAACAGG
rnacentral:rRNA from 1 species